rnacentral:snRNA from 1 species
GGAUGUGAGGGCGAUCUGGCUGCGACAUCUGUCACCCCCAUUGAUUGCCAGGGUUGAUUCAGUUGAUCUGGCUGGCUAGGCGGGUGUCCCCUUCCUCCCCCACCGCUCCAUGUGCAAUGACCAUCCCCGAUAGAGGAGGACCUUUCUUCGGUCAAGGGUAUACGAGUAGCUGCGCUCCGAACAAGCUCUCAAAUGACCUAAGUCCAUCAUUACACUGUUAUUGAU